rnacentral:rRNA from 1 species
AACGAACGCUGGCGGCAGGCUUAACACAUGCAAGUCGAACGCCCCGCAAGGGGAGUGGCAGACGGGUGAGUAACGCGUGGGAAUCUACCCAGUUCUACGGAACAACUGAGGGAAACUUCAGCUAAUACCGUAUACGCCCUACGGGGGAAAGAUUUAUCGGAAUUGGAUGAGCCCGCGUUGGAUUAGCUAGUUGGUGGGGUAACGGCUCACCAAGGCGACGAUCCAUAGCUGGUCUGAGAGGAUGAUCAGCCACACUGGGACUGAGACACGGCCCAGACUCCUACGGGAGGCAGCAGUGGGGAAUAUUGGACAAUGGGCGCAAGCCUGAUCCAGCCACGCCGCGUGAGUGAUGAAGGCCUUAGGGUUGUAAAGCUCUUUCAGUGGGGACGAUAAUGACGGUACCCACAGAAGAAGCCCCGGCUAACUUCGUGCCAGCCGCCGCAGUAAAAC